UGUAACCUUCGGGUGACUUAGUAGUUGUAUGGGUGUAAGGUGGCAGUAGAGGCUAUACUUUGGUAGUUUGCUAAGAGAACGCCUGACGUAAAGUUUGUGUUACCAUAGCAAUCAACUAGUAAUAGUGAUUGAUAGGGUAUUAAAUAUCAGUGAACAGCCCAAGGCAGGCAACUGAGCAGGGAACAGCUGAAGCACAAACUGGUACUCAGACAACGAU
rnacentral:SRP_RNA from 1 species